CACCCCCACACUAGGACAACCUGUAGAGGGUCUCCUUCUGGUCCUGUACCAGUCUCCUAGUUACAGACCUGCCAACCUGCACAAAUUUGAACAGAACACAGACAUAACUCUAUCACUAUACAUACCCUAGUACAGGGUGUUCAACUCUGACCCUACGAGGUCCAGAACACAGACAUACCCUAGUACAGGGUGUUCAACUCUGACCCUACGAGGUCCAGAACACAGACAUACCCUAGUACAGGGUGUUCAACUCUGACCCUACGAGGUCCAGAACACAGACAUAACCUAGUACAGGGUGUUCAACUCUGACCCUACGAGGUCCAGAACACAGACAUAACCUAGUACAGGGAGUUCAACUCUGACCCUACGAGGUCCAGAACACAGACAUAACCUAGUACAGGGAAUUCAACUCUGACCCUACGAGGUCCAGAACACAGACAUAACCUAGUACAGGGAAUUCAACUCUGACCCUACGAGGUCCAGAACACAGACAUAACCUAGUACAGGGAAUUCAACUGACCCUACGAGGUCCAGAACACAGACAUAAC